rnacentral:rRNA from 1 species
UACGAAGGGGGCUAGCGUUGCUCGGAAUCACUGGGCGUAAAGGGUGCGUAUGCGGGUUUUUAAGUCAGGGGUGAAAUCCUGGAGCUCAACUCCAGAACUGCCUUUGAUACUGAAGAUCUCGAGUCCGGGAGAGGUGAGUGGAACUGCGAGUGUAGAGGUGAAAUUCGUAGAUAUUCGCAGGAACACCAGUGGCGAAAGCGGCUCACUGGCCCGGUACUGACGCUGAGGCACGAAAGCGUGGGGAGCAAACAGG